rnacentral:lncRNA from 1 species
GUUUUUUUUUUGUUUUUUUGAAAGCAGAGUGGAAGGCCUAGUUAGCGGCAAGGUAGAGAGCCCGAAAUCAAGCUCUUCGCACCUUAUUGGAUAGGCAACGCAUUUCUGGGCAUUAAUCUGAAGGAUCACCAUAUGUUUCCAACAAGACAGAGCCGCAAACUCCGUCUAGUCUCUAUGGUAGUGCGUAUGAUGACAAGGUCCGUUACCGGAGUGCUUUGGCUUUGGUAGCAGCAGCUGUGACAGGUAGGGGCCGAAGCAUAUGUAUCUUUAAUGUUAAAACUAGAAUCGUGCUUGUGACAAUUUCGUUUCGGUGAUUUGUUGUACUCCAAAUUAAGUUCCAUGUGGCAGUUGACGUUGAUGCGUCUAGCUCCCCAGGUGUGUUGUUUUGGAACUUGGAUGCAGGGCAGUGGUACUGUCGUAGUUUGACGCUGAUGUGCGUGUCCCCUAGUGUCGAGUAAAUUGCAAAAAAUCGUUAUAAUUGGGGACUCUAAUUCAAAAAACCAUCUCAUUUUUUCUUUCAAAAAACAACCAACAUUGUGCUAACUGUUUUCAAAAAGCGCUGAUCUCUCAGGUAAACACUUGCUGAGUGUAAAACAGACAAGUAGGUCCCACUACAAGCGAGUAUGUGGCUACCAAAACUAACGGUGGUUGACUGGAAUUUAGUUGACCGUCAAAAUAGACAUGGGCCUACAUGUCAGUGUGAUCUUACUUCUCUAUCUUUAUCUAAUCUAAUUAUAAAGCACGUACUGGUUCUGCUCGAUCACCAUCGCGGCAUUUUUGCAAAAAAAAACUCUGUAGUUUAAAGUGGAUCUAACAAAACCUUUCAUUUUCACAGAUUAACCCCUGCAUUUGUAAGUAUUUGAUCAGCGAUCCUUUUUAGGAUAAGGUUUCGUUUUUUGCAAGGGCAGCCAUGGCAGGGAGGAGCAGGGGCGGAGCUGCAUGUAUGCUUCCUGAUGCACGGGCAUCAGGGUCGAAAUAAUUUUCGAGUAGUGAUUAGCUCUCGUAAUAUGUGUGCAUCAGGUUACACUGACUGUUGUGCAUCAGGGAGCUGAAAAUUUGCUCCAGCCGGCCUUUUCGGCCGGAGCCCGUAGUCCUUUGGGUAGGGAAUUCAUGGGCUUUUUCCCAGCAGGCCCUAGAAGCUAAGGGCUCCUUUGAUUCAAAGGAAUUCUAUAAGAUUUCUGGAGGAUUGAAAUCCUUAAGAAUUUUUUCUAUGUUGAUCUUUUGAUUUAUAGGAUUGGAUCCCAUAGGAAUUUUUCCUAUGAAAUCUUUUGUACUACAUUUCAUAGGAAAUCUAACAUCCACUCCAACCUCUUUUUACAAUUCUUUUGCUUUUCCUGUGCCAUCAAACACUCCAUGCUAAUCCUGUAGGAUUCAUGUGUGCAUGCCACUCCAACCCUAUACUUUUCCUAUUCCUACGUUUUGAAAAUCCUGCGAAUCAAAGAGGGCCUAAUCGUUGUAGGAAGCCAAUGCGAGCCAGAAAUAAAUUUACCGAUCACGCACACAACAAAUCACCGAAAACGAAACGAAAUUGGAGUAUUAAGUUAGAAUGAUGUAUCGUUAUAAACUGUUGAUGUACUUUUCAUUUUUUAGAGGCGUGCUGUAUUUUACAGCAAGAAAAUAAUACUAUCUCUGUAACUUGAUGUAAGGCGUUUUGCAGCACAAUUGAACUGCAAAACGUCUUACAUUAAGUUACAACUGCUGUAAAAAUGUCUUAAAUUAACGCAAAAGAUUUCAUGCCACAGUUAGCUGAUCGGUUCAAUGAAUUCAGCACAUCAAAUUUGAACUAAAACCAUGACACUAGUUUUGGAACAAAGGGAGUAUUAGCUUGCGAGAAACUCCUGCAGCACCAAACAUGUCAUGAUCUUAAACUAUUUGUCCGAAUGUGCGAAGAGAUAUCAUAUUAGGAAAAAUUACAUCCAUACGAGAACAAUAUCCAAGUUUAGAGCAAUGAUGGCUAAAAUUCUGAUGCCAAUACAAGUGCAAACGAGAUGUAGAGGAAAUUUCAAUCAAUCUUUUGCAACUUCACAACACCUUACCAUAAGGCCAGCUCGCUCUACUCAGAGUACAAUCCACCAAAGAACUGAGUUCAAAGUCAAAGGAAAAAAAACAAAUUGAUGCGACCACAAACCAGCACCACACCAUUUCUUGUCGUACGCAACCCCACUAGCACAUCAGAUUAAGACUAACCCCUCUAGCACAUCAGAUUAAGACUUAAGCAAGAAACCAAGAGAAAUCAG